rnacentral:snRNA from 1 species
AUACUUACCUGGCAGGUGAGACACCAUGAUUAAGAAGGUGGUUCACCCAGGGCGAGGCUCAGCCAUUGCACUCCGGUUGUGCUGAACCCUGCGAAUUCCCAAAUGUGGGAAUCUCGACUGCAUAAUUUGUGGUAGUGGGGGACUGCGUUCGCGCUCUCCCCUG